CAGCAGCCGCGGUAAUACGGAGGGUGCAAGCGUUACUCGGAAUCACUGGGCGUAAAGCGCGCGCAGGCGGCUAUUUAAGUUGGAUGUGAAAGCCUACGGCUCAACCGUAGAACUGCAUCCAAAACUAUUUAGCUAGAGUGUGGGAGAGGAAGAUGGAAUUAGUUGUGUAGGGGUAAAAUCCGUAGAGAUAACUAGGAAUACCAAAAGCGAAGGCGAUCUUCUGGAACACUACUGACGCUGAGGCGCGAAAGCGUGGGGAGCAAACAGGAUUAGAUACCCUGGUAGUCCACGCAGUAAACGAUGAAUGUUAGUCGUCGGGUAGCUAGUCUAUUCGGUGAUGCAGCUAACGCAUUAAACAUUCCGCCUGGGGAGUACGGUCGCAAGAUUAAAACUCAAAGGAAUAGACGGGGACCCGCACAAGUGGUGGAGCAUGUGGUUUAAUUCGAAGAUACGCGAAGAACCUUACCUAGCCUUGACAUAUAUUAGAACACUUUAGAGAUAGAGUGGUGCCUUCGGGAGCUUUUAUACAGGUGCUGCACGGCUGUCGUCAGCUCGUGUCGUGAGAUGUUGGGUUAAGUCCCGCAACGAGCGCAACCCUCGUCACUAGUUACUAACGGUUCGGCCGAGGACUCUAGUGAGACUGCCUUCGUAAGGAGGAGGAAGGUGAGGACGACGUCUAGUCAUCAUGGCCCUUACGGCUAGGGCA
rnacentral:rRNA from 1 species